GGGGAUUUAGCUCAGUGGUAGAGCGCUUGCCUAUCAAGCACAAGGCCCUGGGUUCGAUCCUCAGCUUCUCCC